GACGGAGGGUGCAAACGUUGUUCGGAAUCACUGGGCAUAAAGAGCACGUAGGCUGCGCGCUAAGUCAGGUGUGAAAUCCCCCGGCUCAACCGGGGAACUGCACCUGAUACUGGCGUGCUCGAGGACGGUAGGGGUGAGUGGAACUCCAGGUGGAGCGGUGAAAUGCGCAGAUAUCAGGAGGAACACCGGUGGCGAAGGCGGUUCUCUGGGCCUGUACUGACGCUGAGGUGCGAAAGCGUGGGGAGCAAACAGG
rnacentral:rRNA from 1 species